rnacentral:rRNA from 1 species
UACGUAGGGGGCAAGCGUUGUCCGGAAUCAUUGGGCGUAAAGAGCGUGUAGGCGGCCCGGUAAGUCCGCUGUGAAAGUCCAGGGCUCAACCCUGGGAUGCCGGUGGAUACUGUCGGGCUCGAGUCCGGAAGAGGAGUGUGGAAUUCCUAGUGUAGCGGUGAAAUGCGCAGAUAUCAGGAGGAACACCGAUUGCGAAGGCAGCUCGCUGGGACGUUACUGACGCUGAGACGCGAAAGCGUGGGGAGCAAACAGG